UUUCCGUAGGUGAACCUGCGGAAGGAUCAUUAAAAAUGAAGCCGGGAAACCGGUCCUUCACACCCUUGAUUAUCUCAAAUUGUUGCUUUGGUGGGCCGCGCAAGCACCGGCUUCGGCUGGAUCGUGCCCGCCAGAGGACCACAACUCUGUGUUAUAUGUCGUCUGAGUACUAUAAAAUAGUUAAAACUUUCAACAACGGAUCUCUUGGUUCUG
rnacentral:misc_RNA from 1 species